UUCAAGCAAUGAGGCUUCCACUUCUUCCUCUGAGAGACUCUUUCAAUAUCUCUCUGUCUCACCACAGGGUUUCAUUCCCUCAUAUUAAGCCACAGUUUUGGUGUGUCCUCUUGCUUUGAGAGUUUACAUUAUUUAGAUGCUCAUCUGAUUCCCUGGGUUCUUGCCCAAUAAUGGGUGCCUCCAAUUACUCCUUGCUGACCCUCUCUGGCCAAUUAAGAGUGACAGAAAUGACCCCAGCAUGUUCUGUGCAUCUUGAAGAUUUUCUAGUUGGAUUAUAUUGCUAUGUCUGUCAUUCUGGCAGCUGUCAUUCCAGACAGAACACUGGUAAUAACUAGGUGAAAAAAUGCUGAUGAAUGCUCCUAUUUUCCACUGAGUACUUACUGCCUUAUAGACCAACACAAGAUUUCCCUGGACUGAUGCAUUCAGAGCAAAAGCACCAAGUGGAAGAAAAAAGACAUCUUAGUUACACUGAAUAUUUGCAUUGCUUCAAAGACGCUGAGGAUCAAGGAGGCCUCUGUACCCACACACUGCACCCAGAAGAGGGGAGAUGAAGGGAAUAACAACCUGGGAUGCUCUGCAAGAGCACGUCUUGCUCUCCCUGUGCCCACCAAGCGUUCCCAGCAUGCAUGGGUACUGGGCACCUCCAGGAGCUGUGGACACAAGGAAUUCUGCUUUACUUCUCUAAACACAUCUCUCAUGGACACAUUCCCAGAUAGGCUGAAGAUCUAUCCCACAGUAAGGGAAAUGUACUUCAUUCUCAAUAUUACUUGUGCCAUUAGUGUUUUCAGGUUACUUUGUAAAAAAAUAAGACCUGAAAGCCUGAGUUUCAAAUGAGACAGCUAUUUCAAGGCUUGGUUUAAUAAACCUAAUUUAUUAUGUGAGAUAACAGAGUUCUGCAAUAGACUGCACAGCUUCAUGGCUGAAGUUAGUAAUUCCUGUGAAUAAUGCUGCUAAAAGAAAACAUACUAUGUGGUCAGUCUGCAGCAAUCAGACAUGGUUCCUACAGAAGCUAUCUUCAUUGUUUUUGCUAAAAUGCAGAAAAUCCAAGAGGUCUAGUUAUAUCUGCUGUAAAUAUCUAAGUUACAGGAGCACAGCUGGAACGUCACGGCUCCCUACCUUUGUACAGCUUUUCUUAUAGCUGUAGCAGCAUGCGACUACUGAGGGCUAAAGAUGAAGUUUUGUAACUUGCUACUGUCAUACUUACAACAAAGCAUACUGUCCUCUUUUUGAGUCUUUUUGUUGUCUAUAUUUAAAGCAUAAAUAAAUGUAACAUUUCUGGAUGCCACCCUGUGUAGAUAAAAGCAUACAAUGAUUUAACAAACUGCAUAAAGCACUGCAAUUACACAGAAUGCACUGGCAAUGCCAGAACCAAGGCCAGGUAAAUGUGAGUACACUCAGAGUUUCCUGGGCAUGACAGAAAAUGCUUAAUUCCAAUUGAUUAAUGUAGAAGACUAAAAGGAGAAGAAAAAAAAUAUUAUUUAAGUGAAUAACAGUGGAGUUUUCUCAUGCAUUUAGGCAUAAAAUGACACUCUGCGGGAGUCAGAAAGUAAUUUUUCUCCUUCAGAUGAGAAGUUGCACAACUGGUGGAGCACAAUUAUGAAUGAUUUACUUACAGUGCAGAAGGUAUAACAUAUUGCUUUUAAGUUAGAUGCACUGGUCAUCUUUUCUGCUACAGCAGCUUCUCUGUCUCCUGCCUCUACAUCUCACACUAAUGUGGGUGAAAGGUAGCUAACCCAUUUGGAAGUAUAUUUUAAAAGCACCUUCAAAAAUGUUUUGAAAUAUGCUCUGCUAUUGCAGUCAAACUACCUGUGAGAAUGCUGGGAUGAAUGCAUCAAGUUUUUAGGAAAAGGUAUGAGCAUUUCUGCUUAAACAAAUAUUAACAGCCACAGUUAUAAAGGGCUGGGGAGAGUGUACUGCUAAAACAGUGAUU